rnacentral:lncRNA from 1 species
GAUUUGGUUAGGGUUUGAUUUAGGGUUUAGGAUUUGGUUUAGGAUUCAGGAUUUGAUUAAGAUUUGAUUUCGGAUAAGAAUUUGGUUAGGAUUUGAUUUAGGAUUUAGAAUUUGGUUUAAGGUUUAGUUAGGAUUUGAUUUAAGAUUUAGGGUUUGAUUAGGAUUUGGUUUAGAUUUAGGUUUAGGAUGUAAUUUAAGAUUUAGAGUUUGGUUUAGGAUUUGAUUUAGGGUUUAGGGUUUGAUUAGGGUUUGGUUUAGAUUUAGGUUUAGAAUAUAAUUUAGGAUUUAGAGUUUGGUUUAGGAUUUGAUUUAGGGUUUAGGGUUUGAUUAGGGUUUGAUUUAGGCUUAGGUUUAGAAUAUAAUUUAGGAUUUAGAGUUUGGUUUAGGAUUUGGUUUAGGGUUCAAGGUUUUGUUAGGAUUUGAUUUAAGUUUAGGAUUUGAUUUAGGUUUAGGAUUUGAUUUAAGAUUUAGGAUUUGGUUAGAGUUUAUUUUAGGAUUUAGGAUUUAAUUUAGGGAUUGAUUUAGGAUUUAGCAUUUGAUUUAGAAUUUAGAAUUUGGUUAGGAUUUGAUUUAGGAUUAGGAUUUGGUUAGGAUUUGAUUUAGGGUUUAGGAUUUGAUUUAAGGUUUAGUUAGGAUUUGGUUUAGGAUUUAGGAUUUGAUUAGGAUUUGAUUAGGAUUUGAUUUAGGAUUUGUUUAGGAUUUGAUUUAGGAUUAAGAAUUUUAUUAGGAUUUAUUAGGAUUUAAGAUUUAGUUAGUUUUGGCCUAAAAUUUGAAUGAAAUCCAAUAGGAUUUUAACUAGGAUUUAAUUAAGAUUGAAUUGAGAUGUAUUUGAAAUAUAUUUGUGAUCACUCUAAUAUUUCUUUAAGUUUUUUUAUUGUUUCUUUGAAAUUUCUUUGAGGUUUCUUUGAAUUUGAUUAAAUCUUGUUUAGCAUUGUUAGUAUUCUAUUAGAAUUAGGAUUUUAUUGUUGCAAUU